CUCAUUUUUAAGCGAAAGAGAAACAGGAAGGGUCCUCUUUUCCCCUCAGCUCCUGCUCCAGCGGCACAAUGUGAUCCACCAGCUAGGAGGGACGCCAAUAAGGCGUCCGAUAAGAUAAGUCUUAUAAAAUAUAUAGAUGUAUGAUAAUUGAGACUGAGCUAACAGAUGAGAAUCCUAGUCAUUGGCCAAGCAGCAAUGUAACUAAUACAAGUCUGUGUAUUCAUUUGGGCCUAACUCAGGCGGGCGGCUGGCAUAAAGCUCACACGUGGCAGUGGGGCUCAGGCGGCAUUUGGCGGAAAGAUUUAUCAUAACAUCUAUGUACCUACUUAUCUAUCAUCGCUAUAUAUAUAUAUCAUCUAUAUCAUCUAUCUAUCUACCUAUCUAUGUCUAUCUAUCUAUCCAUGUCUAUCUAUCUAUCUAUCUAUCUAUCUAUCUAUCUAUCUAUCUAUCUGCUUUUGAGAUGUAGAAGAGAGGGGAGAAGAGAAAAGCACAAGAGAGCUGCUUGGGGACCAAACCAGGAGAUGGCCACCAUUGUGUCAUCUGCAAGCGUGGGGCAUCGUGUGAUCUCCUCUACAGUGCAUUGCAAACCCUUUAGGGGCUACCCUUUGUCUGCUCCCUGUGAAACACCCCCGCCCCAGCCUGCUGUCUAUCAGAUGACAAGGCUGCAUCGAGUCUCAUCUGACAAGCUAUUGUCAGGCAGAUGUCUUCAUUAA
rnacentral:lncRNA from 1 species